rnacentral:rRNA from 1 species
CCAGCAGCUGCGGUAAUUCCAGCUCCAAUAGCGUAUAUUAAUGCUGCUGCAGUUGAAACGCUCGUAGUUGGAUUUCUGGAUGAGCUCCUUAGUCGGACAUUGUCUGUACUUUGGAGCUUGUCCUUUUGUCCAAGGAAGGCUUCAGCAAUGGAGUCUGACUUGGGCCAGUUACUUUGAGAAAAUUAGGGUGUUCAAAGCAGGCCAGUGCCUUGAAUACGUUAGCAUGGAAUAACGGAAUAGGACUUUGGUUCUAUUUUGUUGGUUGCUAGGACCGAAGUAAUGACUAAUAGGGACAGUUGGGGGCAUUCAUAUUUAAUUGUCAGAGGUGAAAUUCUUGGAUUUAUUAAAGA